GAAAUGCGAUAAGUAAUGUGAAUUGCAGAAUUCAGUGAAUCAUCGAAUCUUUGAACGCACCUUGCGCUCCUUGGUAUUCCUUGGAGCAUGCCUGUUUGAGUAUCAUGAAAUCUUCAAAGUAAAUCUUUUUUUAACUCAAUUGGUUUCUACUUUGGUAUUGGAGGUCUUUGCAGCUUCACACCUGCUCCUCUUUGUUCAUUAGCUGGAUCUCAGUGUUAUGCUUGGUUCCACUCGGCGUGAUAAGUUAUCUAUCGCUGAGGACACUGUAAAAGGUGGCCAAGGUAAAUGCAGAUGAACCGCUUCUAAUAGUCCAUUGACUUGGACAAUACUUUUAUGAUCUGAUCUCAUAUCAGGUAGGACUACCCGCUGAACUUAAGC
rnacentral:misc_RNA from 1 species